rnacentral:rRNA from 1 species
AGAUUGAACGCUGGCGGAAUGCUUUACACAUGCAAGUCGAACGGCAGCACGGGGGCAACCCUGGUGGCGAGUGGCGAACGGGUGAGUAACACAUCGGAACGUGCCCAGUCGUGGGGGAUAACUACGCGAAAGCGUAGCUAAUACCGCAUACGAACUCUGGUUGAAAGCGGGGGAUCGCAAGACCUCGCGCGAUUGGAGCGGCCGAUGGCAGAGUUAGGUAGUUGGGUGGGUAAAGGCUCACCAAGCCGACGAUCUGUAGCUGGUCUGAGAGGACACCAGCCACACGUGGGACUGGAGACCACGGCCCAGACCGUCCCGUACGGGAGGACGAGCCGAAGGUUGGGUAAUUUUGGACAAGUCGGGACGACCGAACGUCCUAGACUACCCGACG